UAGCCUUGACAUAUUAUAGAAUUUAGUAGAGAUACAGAAGUGCCUUCGGGAGCUAUAUUAC
rnacentral:rRNA from 1 species